CUGUUGGGUAGGGGAGCGUUGUGUAAGCGGAUGAAGGUUAAUCGAGAGGUUAGCUGGACGUAUCACAAGUGCGAAUGCUGACAUAAGUAACGAUAAAACGGGUGAAAAACCCGUUCGCCGGAAGACCAAGGGUUCCUGUCCAACGUUAAUCGGGGCAGGGUGAGUCGGCUCCUAAGGCGAGGCUGAAAAGCGUAGUCGAUGG
rnacentral:rRNA from 1 species